GUCUUCGUGGUGUAAUGGUCAACACACUCGGCGCGUAUUCGAGAGGUCCGAGGUUCGAGUCCCGUCGAAGGCA
rnacentral:tRNA from 1 species